GACAGGAUGCUGGGGCAAAUGGACUUUUGUCCUGAUUCAGUCCUCCUAAUAUAUUUUUUGAGAACUGGCCUCACAAUGUUCCAAACAAGGAGAGAAUGUGGAGAUGAGCUCUACAUUUGUCAGGGGCCUUAUGCCUCUGAUUUGGAUCAACAGUGUAGCAAAAUGUUUGUUCUCCAAAGGAAGCGGAGGUCACCUCUGCCAUAUGGGUCAUAACAACCCGAAGCAGCCCUAUAGGCUUGGGGAAGAGUGGUUGGAAAGACACCUGGCAGAAAAGGACCUGGGGGUGUCAGCUGACAGCCAGCAGCGUGCCCAAGUGGUUGAGAAGACCGAUGGAAUACUGGCCUGCAUCAGAAAUGGUGUGGCCAGAGGAAUCAGUGAAGGGAUCAUCCCUUCGUAUGUGGCACUCAAAGUGUUGCCUAGGGAGGUGGUGGAAUCACCACGCAUGGAAAUAUUUAAGAGACAUGUGAAUGUGAUGCUAAGUGAAAUGGUUCAGUAAUGGAUUUGGCAGUGUCAGGUCAAUGGUUCAACUCGAUGACCUUAAGGUAAUCACUCCAACCUAAAUGAUUCUAUAAUUCUAUGAUUCUAUAUCUUAUGAUAGCCCCAUAAUGUGGAGAUGUCAAUUAUGGCCAAAGCAGCUGUGUUGGUAAACAGCUGUGUGUAAGCAAAUCAGAGCCCCUUAUUACCAUAGUAUGCCUUAUUUUGUCAGAUAAAGGUGGGAAGCUCUAUUUGUCAGAGAGUACCUUGCCUGUUUGGAUUGCUGGUAUAUCUACUCUAUGAUUCUACGCUAUCAGUGAAAAUAUUUCAGGUCCAACAGGCUGACUCUGCAACUCUGCAACCAAAGUCUUACUGACAACUAAAUAACAUGCUGGGGAAGUUUCUUUAACUCUACUAAUUCUAUUGCAAACUUAUCUGAGUCAUUUAGAGGAUGAUGCAUGUCUGAUUAUUUUUGCUAUUCUGGUGUGAGUCUGGAUACUACCUGUACUACGUGCUUCAGUAUUUGAGAAUUAGUCUUACAAAUUUCCAUUCUCAACAGCUUUUGAUAAUUCAGAAUUGUAAAUGAACUAGAUUUUUUGAAAAACUCUUUCUGAAUGAAACAAUACAAAAAUACAAUACCUCAGAAAUGAUGAAAUGCAUCCUUUUGAGGUUAUGACAUUUGUUUCCUGUAGGCAAUGAAAUUUUAGCACUUGCAGUCCUCUGAGUGUAGUUUCUAUCCAAUGCACGUACUGCAGAGAACAGAACUAUUUCAGGUUAUUAUAUGCUAUCUCUUUUGUGCUUAGGAAAACCUUUUGGAAAGAGUAACAGUGAGGUCCGGCAGUCAUACACUUAAUCAGUCUAUACCUUAAUAUCUUAUUUCCAAUAGAGGUUAAUGUCAAUUUGAUUUACAUUACAGCAGGAAAUCCUGCAGUAGAAAAUAAUGGAGUAUACUGUCAUAUGAAAACUCUCUUAUUAUCACGUAGCUUCUUAAAAGCAGCAUAUUCCCUGAAAUACGAAGUUUAUGCGUCGUGUUAGAUAUUCUGGUUUCUACUUGUGUUACCUGAUGUUCUUGUUACCCUCACAAACUUCCUGUUUCUGGAAGGAAUGACGUCCUUUGGAAAUGAGUUGACACACUGUGCAUUUACACAGCUGAAAAAUACCUGUUUCCUUUUGCCAGUUAUAAAUGUGUUAUCUUUAGAUUAAAUGAAUGUUUACUUGUUUAUUUCUGGUGAGAAAAGGCCAUUCUAUUAUUUCAGUACCUUCUCAGUAUUUUUCUGCAUGCAUUUAUUCAAUUUCCUGUUAUUUAUUUCCAUUUUAAAGUAUAGCAUUGAUCUAUCUUCGUAAAAAUGUGUUUCCACAUCUAACAAUCUUUGCCAUCAAUUCUAGUCUUCUGGUUUUGCUAUGCCUCCCCUGGGAACACAAAAUCUCUAUAAUAAAUUGC
ensembl:lncRNA